CAGGAUACCUACAUUUUUUUUCGAUUUUGAGGCGAUCACAUGUGUUUAUUUCGUUUUCCCAGAUAAAAAAGAGCUCGGGAAGAGAUUCACUCUCAACGAGACGAAUUUGCAAGAGAAAACAGUCAUUUCCGCUCCGACUCGGGAUCGUUUGAUGUAAAAUAUACUUUGCAUAAAGUAUGACGCAAUUGACGUACCGGAUCUGAAACAUUUAUCUUGUCGCUCAACCGCUGAGAUUUCUAGAACCACCAAGGACCGGGCCACUUCUCAACGAACUGGCACCAAAGGAUGCUUUUUGAAAACAUCUCGUGCGGGCAUUAUUCACUCACGAUGCAUCCUAAACCGAGUCUGUGUUCUGUCUGAAGACCGUCACUCAUCACGGGCAGUCUGCUCGCCAAAAUUCGCAGAUUUUCCAGAUAGCGCCGCCGCCCCCACCUCUCAGCGCAUGAAAAACGCAGUGAGUCAUACCUGUGCUAAAAUAAAACGCUAGUUCGCGAGUGACCUCUGAGCCUUUUCUUGUGCGCCUGCUUAUUACUGGCAUGUGCGGUAACUGAGGAAAUUUCUCCGAUCAUUCUGAAUAUCGAGCGCUAUACGAACAAAACCGCCUAACUAACAAUUUUAGCAAAAAUGAGGUAGCGACUUUGCCGCAUUCUACAGUAUGAAAUACGCUAGUUGGGCUACAUUUUGCAAUCUAGAACUAUAAAUGGGCCUGUUGCAUGCAAGAGAUACAGCCGUACAAAUAGACUUUUUAGAGGUAAAAUGACACGAAAAUUACGAUGGUCACAUUAAAAAAGUCUGAAAUACACUCCUUACUGCGCAAUUUGUGUUGUUAGGAACCCGCUUUUUCAAAUUUCCCGCGUCUAGGGGCAGUUUUCUAACGGAAACAAGUAACGGCAACUCGCGGCUAUUUCCGGUCAACUAAAACUGACAACAUAACCUGAAAAUUGGAGAUCGUGAUAUCGUGAAAUAAAAUGUAGAAGGAUUGCGUUGGAUAUUUAAAAGGUCAUUAAUUUAGUUACUGCGUAAA
rnacentral:lncRNA from 1 species